rnacentral:misc_RNA from 1 species
UAUGCAUGAACGUAAUGCUCACAACUUCCCUCUAGACCUAGCUGCUGUUGAAGCUCCAUCCAUAAAUGGAUAAGACUUAGAUCUUAGUGUAUAGGAGUUGUUGAAGGAGCAAUACCAACCCUCUUGAUAAAACAAGAAAAGUGGUAUUGCUCCUUCAUAUCUUCAUAUCAUAGAGUUUAUAGUUUAGUAAUGUUUUAUUCACAUAAAAUUUUUGCCAUUUUUUUUUAUGUUUAUGAGGAUAAGAAAAACAUUAAAAACUGAAGCUAAAGUAAAUAAUGAUGAAUGCUAAAAAAUCGAUUCAUAUUCAGUUUUUUAGAAGGAGUGGGGGCGGAUGUAGCCAAGUGGAUUAAGGCAGUGGAUUGUGAAUCCACCAUGCGCGCCUG